GAAUAUUGCACAAUGGGCGCAAGCCUGAUGCAGCGACGCCGCGUGGGGGAUGAAGGCCUUCGGGUUGUAAACUCCUUUCGCUAGGGACGAAGAUGUAUUUUGACGGUACCUGGAGACGAAGCCCCGGCUAACUACGUGCCAGCAGCCGCGGUAGUACGCAGGGUGCGCGCGUUGUCCGGAAUUACGGUGCGUAAAGAGCUCGUAGGUGGUUUGUCACGUCGUCUGUGAAAUCCCGGGACUUAACUUCGGGCGUGCAGGCGAUACGGGCAUAACUUGAGUGCUGUAGGGGAGACUGGAAUGCCUGGUGUAGCGGUGAAAUGCGCAGAUAUCAGGAGGAACACCAAUGGCGAAGGCAGGUCUCUGGGCAGUAACUGACGCUGAGGAGCGAAAGCAUGGGUAGCGAACA
rnacentral:rRNA from 1 species